rnacentral:rRNA from 1 species
UACGUAGGGUGCAAGCGUUGUCCGGAAUUAUUGGGCGUAAAGAGCUCGUAGGCGGUUUGUUGCGUCGGCUGUGAAAUCCCGAGGCUCAACCUCGGGCCUGCAGUCGAUAUGAGCAAACUAGAGUGUUGCAGGGGAGACUGGAAUUCCUGGUGUAGCGGUGAAAUGCGCAGAUAUCAGGAGGAACACCGGUGGCGAAGGCGGAUCUCUGGGCCUUGCCUGACGCUGAGGCGCGAAAGCUAGGGGAGCGAACAGG